rnacentral:rRNA from 1 species
CCGGACAACUCACCGGAUACGACAGCGGAAUGAUAGCCGGGCUGAAGACUCUGCUUGACUAGCUGAGAGGAGGUGGCAUGGCCGUCGUCAGUUCGUACUGUGAAGCAUCCUGUUAAGUCAGGCAACGAGCGAGACCCACGCCAACAGUUGCCAGCAUGAUCUCCGGAUUGAUGGGGACACUGUUGGGACCGCCUCUGCUAAAGGGGAGGAAGGAAUGGGCAACGGUAGGUCAGCAUGCCCCGAAUUAUCCGGGCUACACGCGGGCUACAAUGGAUGGGACAAUGGGUUUCGACACCGAAAGGUGAAGGUAAUCUCCUAACCCCACCCGUAGUUCGGAUUGCGGGCUGCAACUCGCCCGCAUGAAGCUGGAAUCCGUAGUAAUCGCGUCUCACGAUGGCGCGGUGAAUAUGUCCCUGCUCCUU